UGGGGACCAGUGGGGAGAAAUAACUUUGCCUUCCUGCCGGUUAAAGGAUGUUUCACUGAGUGUCUUUAAAAUUCCCAUACAGUGUUAUACAACCUAACUCUCAAAGAAAUCAGCCAAACAGCCAUGUUCUAACCUAAAUCCCAGCCUUAGGAGUAAAUCCAAGCAGAGCAACCCAUUGCUGCCAAACAUGGGCUUAUCCCUUCAGCAAUUGCAGACCCCACCACAACCCUACACCUGAGGACCUGCAUUAACCUGCUCCCCACCCAAGCCAGCCCCCCAGCCCCAGCCAGUGGCAGCUCAGUUUAUCCACAGGGAUUCUUCCAGCUGGGGACACAGCUCAUGGCUCCACAGGGGAUUCACUCAGUACGACUCACCAAGCACUCAAAUCCUACCUCACCUCCAGCCCCACCCCACCCCGGGAGCUCCUGUCAUUGCCAGCCCUCAAGGAGCCAGAUGCCCACCCUCCUGCUCCACGAAACCUCUGGCAGGCUCUCCAAGGGGUGAGCAGCAGCAGCAGCAAGAACCAUCAGAACGCCGGGAUCAACCCCAGCUCCCACCAACAGCUAACACAGGAAUAAGACAAAGCACAGGACAAGAUGGAAUCCCUCUGGAAGAAAGGAGAACUCCCAGUGUGCCACUAGCAGAAGGCACAUACCUAGAAUUAUCAACUGUGAGAUAAACAGAAGAGUCUGAGGAGGAAAAUGAGAUACCAGAACAUCAGAGGAGAGGAAUUGCCAAAGAGCAAGAACGAAGGGGAAGAAAGAAAAGCAGGAGAUUUCUCCCUGGAAGUGCUGUCAACAAUUCCUUUGCUGUGGACACAAGGAUCCACAGCCAAGACCACGGCCACAUUCUGGUGACAACCUGAGUGGCAGCAUUUACAGUUUUGGCUGUACAGACAAAUAAGAAAUACCAAAGAAAAACGUGGGUAUUUAGAUAUUCAGCUAGGAAAUUUGCAGCAAUGUUGAAUGCAAGCCUGGUGUGUGGGUCUGGAAAUCUGGAAACAGAAACCCCCUAGAAAUUUGCUUUUAAGGACCAAGCCUUCAAUUCCCACCUGUUUCUCUUGUGGUGUCACUACAUACAAUUUGCUACUGUAAUAAAGGGAAAUGGGACAGAGAGGGACAGAUACAGGAGACAAGCAAUGCAUGAGGUACUUCUGGCACACACCCCUUGGAGACCACAGACAACACAACCCCUGCUCUGCUUUUCCCAUCAGCAGCUGGGUACUGCAGAGAAGGUAGUUAAAAAUGUCUUCUAAAAUAGCUUUAAGGAUUGGAAAUCUGAUAAGGCAAAUACAAGUGGCAAAGCUCCACUGACGUCAGUGAGACUUAUAUAAGGGAAGAUUUUGUAAUGGUAAAAGUAAUACUGGAACUGAAAAGUCCUGCACACUGAACAAGGAAGUUUUUCAGGUUAACCUCAACACAAGCCACAGAUUUGCCCUCAAAACAAUUUCCCCCCUGCCCUGAAAAUAAAAACUGAGCUGGGACUAU